rnacentral:rRNA from 1 species
AGCGAACGCUGGCGGAAUGCUUAACACAUGCAAGUCGCACGGGGGAUUUCGGUCCUUAGUGGCGGACGGGUGAGUAACGCGUAGGAAUGUGUCCUGGGAUGGGGGAUAACGUUGGGAAACUGACGCUAAUACCGCAUAUGGCCUGAGGGUCAAAGCCGCGAGGCGUCUUGGGAGCAGCCUGCGUCCGAUUAGCUUGUUGGUGAGGUAAAGGCUUACCAAGGCGACGAUCGGUAGCUGGUCUGAGAGGAUGAUCAGCCACACUGGAACUGAGACACGGUCCAGACUCCUACGGGAGGCAGCAGUGGGGAAUAUUGGACAAUGGGCGCAAGCCUGAUCCAGCAAUUCCGCGUGGAGGAUGAAGGCCUUCGGGUCGUAAACUCCUUUUCUGAGGGAAGAACAGCCUGGGGAGGAAAUGCCCUGGGUUUGACGGUACCUCAGGAAUAAGCAACGGCCAACUCCGUG